ACAGUGUGAACAUUCAUAUGUGUAAAGGCACUUCAUACACCGUGCGGUUGUAAUUGUCUAUUUGGCAUUCCAUAAUUUUAUCGUCUGCGAAGAUUGUAAUUUUUGGCCCAAAACUGGGGCGCGUUAUGGCGAUGGAAAAGGAAUUGCAUCGUUAAUCGGCAUAUUAUUUAUGCCUGCCUGAGACUUUGGUAACAAGUGGCACAGUGUUUUUACGGGAAUCUAAGGAACAAAGUGAAUCAGCAAGCCAAAGAGUCAGCUUUGACCAUGAUGAAGAGACUAGAUUCAAUAAAGCUGUUUUGACUAUUGUUUACCCAGUA
rnacentral:lncRNA from 1 species